rnacentral:rRNA from 1 species
ACGCUCGACACCUACGGAGGCAGCAGUCGGGAAUAUUGCGCAAUGGAGGAAACUCUGACGCAGUGACGCCGCGUAUAGGAAGAAGGUUUUCGGAUUGUAAACUAUUGUCGUUAGGGAAGAGAAAGGACAGUACCUAAGGAGGAAGCUCCGGCUAACUACGUGCCAGCAGCCGACGGUAAUCUGAGCGGGCUGGCAAGGC